UCCGUGGUAGCUCAGCGGUAGAGCAGCUCGCUGUUAACGAGUUGGUCGCAGGUUCGAUCCCUGCCCACGGAG
rnacentral:tRNA from 1 species